AAUGGGCGCAAGCCUGAUCUAGCCAUGCCGCGUGAGUGACGAAGGCCUUAGGGUCGUAAAGCUCUUUCGCCAGGGAUGAUAAUGACUGUACCUGGUAAAGAAACCCCGGCUAACUCCGUGCCAGCAGCCGCGGUAAUACGGAGGGGGUUAGCGUUGUUCGGAAUUACUGGGCGUAAAGCGCACGUAGGCGGACUGGAAAGUUGGGGGUGAAAUCCCGGGGCUCAACCUCGGAACUGCCUCCAAAACUACUAGUCUAGAGUUCGAGAGAGGUGAGUGGAAUUCCGAGUGUAGAGGUGAAAUUCGUAGAUAUUCGGAGGAACACCAGUGGCGAAGGCGGCUCACUGGCUCGAUACUGACGCUGAGGUGCGAAAGUGUGGGGAGCAAACAGGAUU
rnacentral:rRNA from 1 species